GAUGAACGCUGGCGGCGUGCCUAAUACAUGCAAGUCGAGCGAACGGACGAGAAGCUUGCUUCUCUGAUGUUAGCGGCGGACGGGUGAGUAACACGUGGAUAACCUACCUAUAAGACUGGGAUAACUUCGGGAAACCGGAGCUAAUACCGGAUGAUAUUUUGAACCGCAUGGUUCAAAAGUGAAAGACGGUCUUGCUGUCACUUAUAGAUGGAUCCGCGCUGCAUUAGCUAGUUGGUAAGGUAACGGCUUACCAAGGCAACGAUGCAUAGCCGUCCUGAGAGGGUGAUCGGCCACACUGGAACUGAGACACGGUCCAGACUCCUACGGGAGGCAGCAGUAGGGAAUCUUCCGCAAAGGGCGAAAGCCUGACGGAGCAACGCCGCGUGAGUGAUGAAGGUCUUCGGAUCGUAAAACUCUGUUAUUAGGGAAGAACAUAUGUGUAAGUAACUGUGCACAUCUUGACGGUACCUAAUCAGAAAGCCACGGCUAACUACGUG
rnacentral:rRNA from 1 species